GGGUCUCCAGUUGUCUAUAUAAAGAGUAUCCUUAUUAGGUUUGGGAAUCAAAGUAAUUACACCUUGCUUUAAGGAAGCCGAUAACUCAUCAUCACAAAAAUCCCUGAAAUCAUUAUCUAUCUUCUUAGCAAUGUUUGCAACACGUCAUGCUCUAUCAACUGAGCUACGAAGGAGCACGUCGACGUCACUAGAAUGAUGACAAGCAAUUUUAACACCUGAGAACAAUCGACUGGAAAAUGCCUGGGUGCUUUUCAAGACUGGCGGAGAGAGUGCGUGGACGUCGGCGGCCUAAUGCUUCGACAGGUUGUUCAAAUUCAUUUGUGGCUUGUUUUUCUUGUCUUUUUCUGUUUUGCAGCGA
ensembl:lncRNA